rnacentral:rRNA from 1 species
UACGUAGGGCGCAAGCGUUGUCCGGUAUUAUUGGGCGUAAAGAGCUCGUAGGCGGUCUGUUACGUCCGCUGUGAAAACCCAGGGCUUAACCCUGGGCUUGCAGUGGAUACGGGUAGACUAGAGGCAGGUAGGGGAGAAUGGAAUUCCCGGUGUAGCGGUGAAAUGCGCAGAUAUCGGGAGGAACACCGGUGGCGAAGGCGGUUCUCUGGGCCUGACCUGACGCUGAGGAGCGAAAGCGUGGGGAGCGAACAGG